rnacentral:lncRNA from 1 species
AAACAACAAAAGAAUCACCUCUCUCUCUCUAACUUGGGGUAUAAAAAUCAAAGGACCUUUCUCUCUCUACUUAAGAGAAAGAGAGAGAGAACUUGUUUUCUAUGAUAGGUGGUUGGACAACCGUGCUCCACUUCAACACUAGCCCCCUUGAGUUUAGCUUAAGAGUUAAUUUUCCUUCCAUCCUUUUUUUUUUUUGUGGGUGUGGUUGCAACCUUAAACAAUCCAAUUAACACGUACUUUCAAAUUUU